UCUAAAAUGGCAGAUUAGUGCAACGAAUUUAAGUUUCGUAUAUUUAUAUAUAUAUUUUUUUAGAA
rnacentral:tRNA from 1 species